CAGUAAGCGCUCAAUAAAUGCGAUUGAUGAUGAGUGUGUGUAGAUGAGUGAGAUCUGAUGAUGGCAUUUGUUAAGCGCUCACUGUGUGCAAAGCACUGUUCCGACGUUACCGCCUUGUACUCCCCAAGUGCUGCGCUCCCUCAACGCGAUCGGAUGAAGGACGAGUGUGUGAGCGAGCCCAGGCGCGCCCCCCUGCCGCUCCCGCCCCUACACGCUGAUCUUAUUUGAUCGGGCCGCGCCUCCCCCCCCCCGCCCCGUCCGUCCCCGCCGGGCCGGCCCGAAGUGAGAAGCCCCCCUCCUGCGAAGCCCCCCCCGGGGCGCUGUGCAGCGAGGCCCACCGAGUCGGCGGCGGGGACGGAAGCCGGACCCUCAGGAGUGAUGAGUCGAUCAGAUAGACGAGGCCGGCCAGCGGCCCAUGAGUAUCGAGGCGAUUCUGACCUGA